rnacentral:tRNA from 1 species
GUGAAUAUAGUUUAAUAAAAACACCAGUCUGUGAAUCUGGAAACAGGGAUUUAAAUCUUCUUAUUCACC